AUGUCACUUCCACGGAACAAUAUGUAUUCAUAAACUUUGUCACUGGGUGGGAUUUGCGGACCAUCUUUUUUCCGUCCUUCUGUUCCAAAUGACCGCACGUUUUUCAAUCCGAUGCUGGACUCUUCGGUGUUGAUAUUGUAGAGAACGCCCUCGUAUCUGAUCUCACUCUUGGACGUCAAGCUUAUCAAGCUGCCUAUGUAGGAAUCGGCGGUCGAAUU
rnacentral:misc_RNA from 1 species